GAUGAACGCUGGCGGCGUGCUUAACACAUGCAAGUCGAACGAAGCACUUUCUUGCUUGCAAGAAAGUGACUGAGUGGCGGACGGGUGAGUAACGCGUGGGCAACCUACCUCAUACAAGGGGAUAACAGUUAGAAAUGACUGCUAAUACCGUAUAAGCACACGGCUUCACAUGAAGCAGUGUGAAAAACUCCGGUGGUAUGAGAUGGGCCCGCGUCUGAUUAGCUAGUUGGUGAGGUAAUGGCUCACCAAGGCGACGAUCAGUAGCCGACCUGAGAGGGUGAUCGGCCACAUUGGGACUGAGACACGGCCCAAACUCCUACGGGAGGCAGCAGUGGGGAAUAUUGCACAAUGGGGGAAACCCUGAUGCAGCGACGCCGCGUGAAGGAAGACGUAUUUCGGUAUGUAAACUUCUAUCAGCAGGGAAGAAAAUGACGGUACCUGACUAAGAAGCCCCGGCUAACUACGUGCCAGCAGCCGCGGUAAUACGUAGGGGGCAAGCGUUAUCCGGAUUUACUGGGUGUAAAGGGAGCGUAAACGGUUGUGUAAGUCAUAUGUGAAAGGCCAGGGCUCAACCCUGGGACUGCAUUUGAAACUGCUCAACUAGAGUGUUGGAGAGGUAAGUGGAAUUCCUAGUGUAGCGGUGAAAUGCGUAGA
rnacentral:rRNA from 1 species